UACGUAGGUGGCAAGCGUUGUCCGGAUUUAUUGGGUUUAAAGGGUGCGUAGGCGGCUUUUGUAAGUCAGUGGUGAAAAUAUGGCAGCUCAACUGUCAGGGUGCCAUUGAUACUGCAGAGCUUGAGUACAGAUGAGGUAGGCGGAAUUGACGGUGUAGCGGUGAAAUGCUUAGAUAUCGUCAAGAACACCGAUAGCGAAAGGCAGCUUACUGGGCUGUAACUGACGCUGAGGCACGAAAAGUGUGGGGGAUCAAAACAGG
rnacentral:rRNA from 1 species